ACGGAAGCGGCAGAAAUCAGUGGAUUCAUGAUAAGUUCCUCGUACCAAAAAAAGAAAUGGUUAAUGAUACAAUCAACCAAUGAAUUAUGACUUAAUUAUUCCCUCACUAGGACUCAUCCAGUCGAAGUAACUAAGAACUUCGGAUUGAAGUAAUAAGAUUCUUGAAUCAUCAAAACAACUUCGAUAUAUCUUUUUUACUUUUUAGCCACAGAGUCUUUGUGAACCCAUACGACUUUCAUUCUUCCAUUUCUUGUUCUUGGUUCGAACUGUUAGUUGAAUUAUUUCUUGAUUUCAUCCGUUUAGUCAUUCAAUUCACAGUCACAAGGGGCCGGAAGGACUUCUAGUCUAUUAGAAUCCCCUAGAAAAAUAUAUCUUUAGUAGUUCAUUUCAUAUAUAACUAGCACUAGGCAAUAUCUAAUAUCACAUAUACAUGUCUUUCUUCCAUAACGUAAACCAAGCAUUCAUCUUAGAUUUAAUCCUAUUCGAGAAUCAAGCGUCGAAACAUCUAGAAGGGUUCGCUUAUAGUUAUUCAAGUACAGAUACCUCCCGCCCCUUUCUAAAAUACUAAAAAAAACUUUUGAAAAAUUCUUUUGAAUCUUACCUUUUCUUAUUAUUCCACCUAGAGAAAUCUAAAUGGACAAAUUGAUUAGGACGACAAAUUCCAUAGGUAUAGAAAUAUCAUUAUUUGAUUGAUCUAAGUUCAUGCACUUUAUUAAUAAAACUGAAUAAAAAAAUUAUUCAUUUUUAUUAUUUAUUUAUUAUUAAUAUUUUGGUGAAUCGUUGAAUAAAAUCAACUGAAAGGGAAAUCAUUUCGCCCUUUUUUUUAUUUAAUUACACGUCGUAAACCUAUACAACAAGAAUUAUUGACAAAAAUUCUUAUAUUCAAAUUGUUUUAACAAUGAAUUAAUAAUGAGAUGGACUAAGCAAUCUAAAGUGAAUAUUCAUUGAGACGAAGUAUGAUAUUAAGUGAAGGAAAGGGGAAUUUUAGGAAAAAGAUCUAAAAACAAAGAUCUUUUUCCCCUUACUCUUUAAUAUCAUCGUAAUGUUUUUGCUAUCAUUCUAGAUCGUAUAUAGCAUAGUUGUAUAUUUAGAUUCCCCUAUUCUAUUCCGUAAGUUAAGUAAUUCUCUUAAGCCACCCACCAUAUACAUUUAUACAUUGCUGUGGGCUAAGCUAAAAAAGACUAUUUCAAUGAUGGCCCUCCAUGGAUUCACCUAUAUAAGCCGCGGCUAAAGUUGCAAAAAUAAGAGCUUGAAUACCACUUGUAAAUAAUCCAAGGAGCAUGACAGGUAUAGGAACUACUAAGGGUACUAAAGAAACAAGAACAACAACUACUAAUUCAUCAGCUAAGAUAUUCCCGAAAAGUCGAAAACUAAGUGAUAAAGGUUUUGUGAAAUCUUCUAAGAUGUUAAUGGGUAAAAGUAUUGGGGUUGGUUGAAUAUAUUUUCCGAAAUAACCUAAUCCCCUUUUUGUAAGACCCGCAUAGAAAUAUGCCACGGAUGUGAGUAAAGCCAAAGCAACAGUAGUAUUUAUAUCAUUCGUGGGUGCGGCUAACUCCCCAUGAGGUAAUUGUAUGAUUUUCCAAGGUAAAAGAGCUCCUGACCAAUUAGAAACAAAAAUAAAUAAAAACAUAGUGCCAAUAAAAGGAACCCAGGGCCCAUAUUCUUCUCCAAUUUGAGUUUUACUAACAUCUCGAAUGAAUUCAAGAACAUAUUCGAAGAAAUUCUGACCCCCGGUCGGAAUGGUUUGUGGGUUCCGAACAGCUAUAGUGGCUGAACCUAAUAAGAUAGCAAUUACAACCCACGAAGUAAUAAGUACUUGGCCAUGUACUUGGAAACCUCCUAUUUGCCAAUAGAAAUGUUGGCCUACUUCCACACCGGAUAUAUCGUAUAACCCCUUUAGAGUAUUGAUGGAACAUGAUAGAACAUUCAUAUUGCCUUGCCCUCUGAAAAAAUCGAACUUUAAACAAAAUUUUUUGAUUCAACCAUCUCUUUGUCUACUUGAAUCGGAUAUUUUGAAUACCAACUAAGAUUUAGAAUACUAAUAAAUCACAUAAUAUCCCCAGUUAUUUUGAUCUAUUUUUGGAAAUUCAGAAAUAGUAAGCGAUUCCAUAAGGGAUUUCUAGGGAUUUCUGAAGUAAGUUAUUUAUCUUAUUAUGUUAUUAUUAAUCAAGGAUUUCUUAUAUAGCUAGAACGACCCUCACAAAUUGCGAAUACUAAUUUGUUAAGAAUUAAUCGGAUUGAGGAUAUGGCGUCAUCAUUCGCUGGAAUUGAAAUAUCUGCGAGAUCGGGGUCACAAUUUGUAUCGGUUAAACAAAUUGUUGGAAUUCCUAAAGUAAUACACUCUCGCAGGGCCGUAUAUUCUUCGUGCUGAUCCACGAUGAUUACAAUAUCGGGUACCCCUGUCAUAUAUUUAAUCCCGCCCAGAUAUGUUUGCAAGCGAGAUAAUUGUCUUUUCAACAUAGCUGCAUCUCUUUUCGGGAGACGGUUGAGUCUCCCUGUUUUUUGUUCCAUUCUCAAGUCCCUGAACUUAUGAAGUCUUGUUUCUGUAGUGGACCAAUUCGUUAACAUACCGCCAAGCCAUUUUUUAUUAACAUAAUGACACCGGGCCCUUAUUGCAGCCCACUCUACUGAAUCAGCUGCUUUAUUUUUGGUACCAACAAUUAAGAAUUGUUUUCCCCUACUUGCUGCGUCAAAAACUAAAUCACAAGCUUCUGAUAAAAAACGAGCAGUUCUAGUAAGAUUUGUAAUAUGAAUACCCUUACGCUUUGCAGAGAUAUAAGGCGCCAUUUUAGGAUUCCAUUUCCUAGUACCAUGACCAAAAUGAACUCCUGCCUCCAUCAUCUCUUCCAAAUUUAUGUUCCAAUAUCUUCUUGUCAUUUCUCCCCACAACCUCCCCCCCUUUUUUUAUUCUUUUUCAAAAAAAAAAAGAGACGAGGAACCCUGAACUGAAAUAAAUAAUUGUUCCGAUGGAACCUUCUCUUCUACUGUAGAUUGGACGUAGAUACACGACCCAAACCAUUAUUCUUUUCUAUUCAUUAUUCUUUUUAUUACCAAAGCAAAUAACCAUACCAAAUGCAGAUAGCGAAAGAGACGAAUCCGUUGUUAGGAAUCAUUAAAUCCUAUAAAUGAUUGUUCGGGUAUGUCGUGGAAUUUUUUUGAAAGACAAGAAUCAAAUAAUUUUCUGUGGUGGAACAAAAUAUCUCUCAUCUCCCCCUCGAAUAGAUUUGUUUUUUUUGUUUCCAAAGGAAUGUUGUUAUGUUGUUUUGAAGGGUGCACUAAUCCCUUGAAUCCGGUACCAACGGGUAUCACCCCCCCCAAAACAACGUUCUCUUUCAGGCCUUUCAACCAAUCGAUACGACCCCGGAGAGCCGCUUUUGCUAAAACUCGAGCAGUUUCUUGAAAACUUGCUUCAGAUAUGAAACUUUGAGUAUUGAGAGAUGCUCUUGUUAUUCCCAAUAAGACGACUCGGUAACAGAUCGCUUCUUCCAAAGCGCGCCCCAUUCGUUCUGCUCGCAACAAUCCAAUAAGUUCUCCGGGUGAAAAAACAUUAGACAUUCCAUCUUCUGAAAUCAACACUUUUGAUGUUAUUUGACGUACAAUAAUUUCUAUAUGCCUAUUAUGAAUCUGCACCCCCUGGGAGCGAUAAACCUGUUGGAUUUUAUUAACCAAAGAGAUUCGGCUUUGCGCUAUAGUUAGCUCAGCACCAAUCAAGAAUCCCCAAGGAAUUCCAAGAAUUCUUGGUAUACAUUUGUUCCAACCCUCAACCCUCUUUUCUAGAUUCAUGGAUAUUGAAUCAAUCGAACGCACUUCUAAGACCUGUUCUACUUUUGGAAGACCCUGUGUUAUAUCACCAGAUCUCGAUUUUUCAUAUAUAAAUGUAACUAAUGUAUCUCCUUCGUAAAGGGUUUCCCCAUAAUGGCCAUGAACAGUUGCUCCGGGGGUGGCCAAAUAAGGCUUAGCUGAUCGUAUCACUAUCGAGUCAACUUGAACAAGUAUAACUUGACCCGAUUUGAGGGGCGGUCCAUUUUUGGCUAUACAUACAUUUUCACAAAUAAACUGUCCAAGACUAAUUAUUUUAGAUGUCUCUGCACAAUAAUAGUGAUGGAGAAAAGACCAAUUCAAAUUGAAUGGAUUUAAAAUAAUGUUACGGCAUGGAUCGGGAUUAAAAAUUUUUCCAUUUUCAUCCAUUAAAUAAUAUUUUAAUUUAAUCACUUGAAAAGUCUGUUUUAAAUUGUCAAGUUGCAAAUAUUUAGUUACUAAGAUCUGAUUAUGAGUUAUUAAAUGGUAAGAUGAAUAAAAAUUCUCAAUUGGAAGGCAUGUUCCUAAAGGGCCCAAUGAAUUCCUAAUUGGAAUUAGGGGAUCUUUUUUAAUUGAUUCUUUUAUCACACUGUGAUAUUUUACAUCUUUGAAUGGCUCCAUUCGAGAACAAUUGGCUGCUGACAAAAUUAUCAACGACUGACAUUCCUUAUUUCUAUUCAACAACGUAUGAAUAGUUCCUUGAGGUUGGUUAAGAGAUUGUUGAAUUUUUGCCUUGGAAUAGGAAUAAAUAGCAGAAAAGGGAUUGAUAUUGGUACAAUCCGAUCCAUUAUCAGAGAGCAAUCCUGACCCCGACGGAUCAUUCCUUUUUCCGAUAUACGAAAUAGGGGAUUUCACUAAGUUGAUUUUUAGGAAAUGUCGAAUCAAACCAUUUGUCCUUAUUUCAACAAAAGAAGCACGGGCUUCUUCGCAAGAAGAACUUUUUUUGUCUUGGUUCCAAUUCAAUACUAAACAAGUCCGAACUAAUUGAAUACUUGUGUCAGAAAUUCCUCGAAUCGGUUUGCCAUUUCCAUAAAGGAUAUAAUUGACAAUUCGAAGUUGCACAUUAUCCCUUUCCUGCAAUGGAUCCGGUGGAAAAAGGGUUCCUAAAUUUAUACCGUCCGUUAUUUCAUAUGUGACGACAGGUCGAACUAAAACAAAAAACCUUUUCUUACUAGGUGUAAUUCGUUGGACAUAGAUCCAAUUUUGAACUUUUUUGUAUUCCUUGGAAUUUCUUUUUCCUGUUCCUGGUGGUAUCAAAACGCCGGUAUGCCUGGAUAUCUUAUCCGUCUCUCCAGGAAAAUGGAUAUCUCCAGAAAAGAUUUUCAGUUCAAUUCGUUUUUUUUUUCUCUCCACCCGGACCAACCCACCGACUCGGCUUCUUAGAUUUAAGGUGAUUUGUGUAUCGACCCCAACGAUACUAUUGUUCCGUACCAUUAGGGAAGAAGAUCCGGGCAAGAUAUGCACCUCUUCAGGAAUGAAAAAAAAUCGAUCUACUUUCAUUUGGUAUUUUGGCCUAAAUUCCUUGACUCCUCGAUACUCAAUCAAAUCCUCUUUUUUGAUGACUGAAUGCGUUUCUAUAGUCCCAUAUUUAAUAAUGCCCGAACUCUUUCUUCUGUAUCGAGGAUCAUCGAAAUAAGCAAGAAUACUAUUUCGACGGAAAAUACCAUUUACGGGGAUUUCAAUCGAGAUACCUGAACAGGGCAUUAGUUCAUUCUCGAGUUCUUGAAUCGAGUGUAGUGGAAUGAUGAAUUUAUUUCUUCGCCUUUUUGACAAUAAAGCAGAAUUCCCGUGAAGAAUAGGCGAAUAUACGAGAUUAUACUGGCCAGUACAUAUGAUUCGAUUAAGGUCUGAAUAAUCAGGAAUCCUAUCUUCUUUUUGACCAUAAAAAUCCGAACUAAACAAUUUCUGCCUCGCCUGAUCAUUGGUUACUGAGAGGUUAGAAGUAUAUCUUCGCUUGCCAGAAAGAGAAUGCGCAUUCAUUUGAUCCUGAUCCUUGUGGAUCGAAAGGUAGACUAGACUGGACCUGCACGGCCCUCCUAAUAAUAUCCAUAAAUGACUUGUUUUUGGUAAUAGAUGAACAUUACCAUAUGUAAAUUCGGGUGCAUGAUAGACAUCGGUACUCCAGUGCAUUUCUCCGUCUGAAUCAGAAUAAAUAUGUUUUCGAACCUUCUCUUUAAAAUUCAAAGUGGAUAUUCCUGCGCGAAUCUCAGCAAUUACUUGUUCUGAUUCUACGUAUUGAUCGUUUUGAACUAAAAGCAAACUUUUGGGUGGAAUAUUCACAUUAUGUAGAAUAUCUUCACUCUCAAUAGUUACAUACAAGUCUAUAGAACAUAGAAAGGCGGGAUGCCCAUGACGUGUACGUGUCGGAUGAACCAAGUCCUCAUUGAAUUUUAUUUUUCCAUUAGAUGGGGCUCGCACAUGUUCUGCAGUACCCCCCGUGAAUACUCCUCCGGUAUGAAAAGUUCGUAAUGUUAAUUGAGUACCCGGUUCUCCAAUCGAUUGACCUGCAAUAAUACCUACAGCUUCCCCCAAUUCAACCAGGUCGCCAUGAGUAGGACUACGCCCAUAACAUAAUCGACAAAUCCAAGAUGUACUCCUACAAGUAAAGGGAGUUCGAAUAGAGAUUGGUUGUGCCCGAAAGGUUAUGAAUCGAUUUACAAGUCCAAUGCCAAUGGCUUGGUUUCUAGUGGCAAUACAUCGUGAACCCAUGUAUAUAUCAUCUGCUAAUACACGGCCAAUUAAUGUUUGACUAAAAAUCCUUUCCGGCAUUAUCCCAUUCCGAGGACUCACAGAAAUACCCCGGGCGGUGCCACAAUCCGUUCGACGUACAACAAUGUGUUGAACUACUUCAACAAGUCUGCGAGUGAGAUAUCCAGCGUCUGAUGUUCGUACAGCAGUAUCCACAACUCCUUUACGGGCUCCGUAGCAAGAAAUGAUGUAUUCUGUUAAAGAGAGUCCUUCGCGUAAAUUGCUUUGAAUAGGUAAAUCAAUCAUUUGUCCUUGAGGAUCCGACAUUAAUCCUCUCAUACCUACUAAUUGAUGUACCUGAGAUGCAUUUCCUCGAGCUCCCGAGAAAGACAUUAUAUGAACUGGAUUAAAAGGGUCAGUCAUCCUAAAAUUCGGAUUCAUUUCUUGGCGCAAAUAUUCACUUGUAGCAUACCAUAUUUCAAUGGAUUGACGUAAUUUUUCUACCGCGUGUACAUUUCCAUACUGAUGGUGUUUUUCCAAAAUCAAACUUUGUUGUUCAGCAUCUUGAACUAGCCAUCCCUUAGAAGGUAUUGUUAAAAGAUCAUCAAUUCCUAAUGAAAUGGAUGUAGCAGUAGCUUGUUGGAACCCCAGAGUUUUUACUUGAUCCAGGAUAUGUGAUGUAUAUGCCAUUCCGAAGUGCUCUAUUAAUCUACUAAUAAGUCGUUUCAUGGCAGUUCCGUCUAUCGCUUUAUUGUGAAAGACCAGAUUGGCCCGUUCUGCCAUAAGUACCUCCAUAUUCCGCUGAGUAGGAUUCGACAAUGGGUUUGAGUCGGUGAUUGUAAAACUUCCUUUUAUCGAUCUUGAUUCGCGUAUAAAUUCCGGAACUAUGGACCUAGCUGAACCGGAGAGCCCCGAAGUCCCACGGUAUCAUAGAAUUAGGUAGCAUAUGAAUAGGCCCGAGAAAACCCCUGUAUAGCUUCUUCGAUUUCUCGAUAAAGAGCAAUAUGACCAACA
rnacentral:lncRNA from 1 species